rnacentral:misc_RNA from 1 species
AAGUCGUAACAAGGUUUCCGUAGGUGAACCUGCGGAAGGAUCAUUAACAACAUAUCCUAAAUAAAAAACCCUGUGAACUUUCAACCCCAAGCUCUUGAUCCGAGGAGUUCAGCAAUCUCUGGUAAAUCAUAGUGAACAGCUUUUGAUUCAGAGACCUCUGGUACCCUCAAGACCAGUGUUCAGUGAUCUGUCAGUGUUCAUUGACUGGAAUCAAACGUUCUGUCAGUGUGCGUUUGGUUUGCAAGGGUGGCGCAGUAAACGAUCGCUGGAGGCCGACACGGCCGGCGACCGGGUCAGCGAGCUCUGCUCCCACUGUUACGACAAACCUCUGUUCCCCUCUAGUGAAAGCUAUUGGGUUAUAACUAAACGACUGUUAACAAUGGAUAUCUCGAUUCUC